rnacentral:rRNA from 1 species
UACGUAGGGUGCAAGCGUUAAUCGGAAUUACUGGGCGUAAAGCGUGCGUAGAUGGCUGAUUAAGUCGGAUGUGAAAGCCCCGGGCUCAACCUGGGAAUGGCAUUCGAUACUGGUUGACUUGAGUGCAGGAGAGGAACGCGGAAUUCCAGGUGUAGCGGUGAAAUGCGUAGAUAUCUGGAGGAACACCGGUGGCGAAGGCGGCAUCCUGGACCGGUAUUGACGCUGAGGCGCGAAAGCCAGGGGAGCAAACGGG